GGCCCUUUAGUUUCGCAUCUGGACCUUCGAUAUUCACAUCAGGAACAUCAACGUCCACUUUGGGUCCUGAGACAUCAAUGUCAGCCUUGGGCAGGUUCACAUCCACAUCUGGGCCCUCUCCUUUGAAGCCAGGCAUGCUGAACUUGGGCAUUUUCACCUUGGGCAUCUUCAGGUGCCAGUCUGGGCCUUGAACAUCAACAUCUGGAGCAUUAAUGUCCACUUUGGGGCCCUUGAUACAUCAAGGUCAGCCUUGGGCAGGUUCACAUCCACAUCUGGGCCCUCUCCUUUGAAGCCAGGCAUGCUGAAUUUGGGCAUUUUCACUUUGGGCAUUUUUAGGUGCCAGUCUGGACCCUGAA
rnacentral:lncRNA from 1 species